AAGAAAGCAUUGUGAAGAAUGCAUCACCAUCGCUGUUCCUGUUGGGUGAUUGCUUGCUAGCUAUCUAGGGAUGCAACAGCGUGGAGAGCAGGCUGGUCCCAGGGCUACUGAUGGCGUGGCCGCGCAUUUUCUCCAUUUCUGAUUUUGGGGGAGUGAGUGACGGGAUCAUGCUUAACACCAAGGCGUUCUAAAAGGCAAUUGAAGGCAAUCAAUCACAUUGGCAGCUUUGGCAAGCUGGGAGGCAUGAUGAUCAACUCACCAAAUCAAUCUCACAAGCCACAUGACUCUCUUCUUGGAACAGGACGCCACAAUCCUUGCCUCCAAGGAUCCUUAAGAUUGGCCCAUGCUCGAUCCCUUGCCAUCAUAUGGGCGAGGAAGGCUGAUUGAUUUCAUCUGUGGAUGCCCAGAAGUACUGUGGGAAGAGGGUGUAAUUUCUGAGUUGCAAUGAGAGGUGAGGCAACCCAUAUGUAUGGAUUUUGGUAUACAAUCGGACCAGCCAACACUAAAAAGUCUGCCAUACCAUUGUGAGAUACCUUUCUCAGGAAGGCCACCACAUGAUUUUCCUUGAUGCUCAAAGGCUCUGUGAGAAUCUGGAAGCAACUUUGUUAUGGAACCUUGUGCAAGAAUUCCCCGCCAUGGCCAGUGUUUCAACAAUUUCUAAAUGUGUGGCCUUUUUGAUGCAUUCGAAAGUAAGAGCUACAAUUGUAGUGGACAGUGGCAACAUAAUUUCAAUGAAGAAUAGUACUGCUGCUUUGUUA